GAGGAGAGAGAGACACCAAAAUGAAGCUGAAUAAGGACCCACUGUCAGUGCCACCGAGAGUCAGACCCUGUCUCCCCAGCUUGUGCAUGAAGAGAAAUCUGCUUUCUUGCCACUUGAGCCUGAAGUCUGAGGCCAGAGACUCCAAGCAGACCCCACCCUUCAAAGAAUGUCAGCUAUUUAUACAGGAGGAAGGGGGUGGGGGACAGAGCCCAGGAUUAGAUUUUAGGGAAAUCUGGGAGGGGACAAUUCUCUCUCUCUCUUUUUUUUUUUUUAUUGGAUAGAGGCAGUCAGAAAUUGAAAGGAAAAGGGGAGAUACAGAGGGAGAGAGACAGAGAGACACCCGCAGCCCUGCUUCACUACUCAUGAAGCUUUCCCCCUUCGGGUGGAGACGGGGGCCUGAACCUGGGUCCUUGUGCACUGUAGUGUGUGCGCUUAACCAGGUGAGACCCUGCCAGCCCCAUAGGAGGCAAUUCUUCAGGAUUCUGGCUCCUCAAACCUCAUUCCAGAGCAAAGGCCACAGUGAGCCCUGUUUUCCUUUACUUCAAGAGGCCAAGGCCAGCAUACAGCCAUGUCAGAAGUCCAUGCCCAGUCCUUCUGGUCCCAAUUUCAGCAAGACCACCCCACCAUUCAUGGCCUCCUCUAGAGCCCCCAGGGCCUCCUGUGGCCCCACUAGGCGGCUGACCCCAUCUCGAGCUUGCUGAGCCAUCUUUCCCAGGUAAUUGAGUUAUGCUGAGGAAGUCCUGCCUUGAACAAGACUGACUGGGAGGCGAUAUGAUCUGCUGCUUUCUUCUAAGCAUAAUGUCAGAUACACUUUAUAUCUCCUACCGACAUCUGCGGUGAACAGCUCCAAGCGCAGACCCCUCAGAGACCCAGGUAACCUCGAGGGCUGUAGUAACACAUCAUUGGAACCGUCUCCUCGCGUCAAGUCUGGAAGAAGUCAGAGUGUUCAGAUAUUAGGGUUGCGUUUGGGCAUGCACAAUUUACUAGGACCAUCUUCUAAACUCAUUCUGGAUGCAGCCGUUUUAUUUCCAUUUUUACAACUCUCUUAUGUCACUGAAUUUUACCAUAGCAUCUACAGCCCUGACUCAGUGAAAAAGAGGUGAAUCAUCAGCUGCAAGUGUUUUAUUUUUAGUGUUCAGCACCAUCCUGAGGGAGCUGCAGAUGUUCAGAGAGAAAAAGAAAAAAGAAAUCUUGUCAAAUCAGAAUAACACUCCUUUGUAACAUAAAGAGAGUUUCUCCCCUUGCCUGAAUCUUAAUAUCAAUACCUGUCAACAGAGAGGGGCAGCAUGAGGCUUUGCAGGGGAAGCUGCAAAUUGUCACCAGCUUUGCAGGGAGCAAGGAAAGAGUCCCACCCUCAGGAGCAGGCGGAGGGGUCCACCACAAAACAAAACAGGAGGAAUACGUUUCCAUUCAAGACAAAUUCUGUUUGGGGCCAGGUGG